GUAAGAUGGCGCCACAAGUACCAGUUUUGAAAAUCUUGGCGGCUGGAAUGAAAAUUCAAAGUUGUUUCCUAGAGGUUUGACAUCUGUAAAAGAAUGAAGUUAGCCUGCGAAAUAGAAAUUAGCGAUCACCGAUUGCAUUCCACCUCGCUCCCAAAACGAAGAGCGUGUCAGGCGACACUCCUUGUUUAUCAAGAUGCGAAAGCAUCUGAACCAAGCACUAGCAAAUCUACUAAUGUUUAUUUAAUGAUUUGUACGGUUCAGAAUCCUGCAGGUAUUAAAUAUAAGAUACAAGGUAACAUAGAAAGGAUUUUUAAAUCGUAUAUGAAUUUGGGAAAAACAACGAUACGUUUUAUCGAACCACCUCACGAUAUACUAAUUAGAAAGGUAAAUAU